rnacentral:rRNA from 1 species
UGCGUAGGCGGCUUUGCAAGUCAGCCGUGAAAUCCCGGGGCUUAACCCCGCGGACUGCGGUAGAAACUGUGAGUCUUGAGUGAAGUAGAGGUAGGCGGAAUUCCCGGUGUAGCGGUGAAAUGCGUAGAGAUCGGGAGGAACACCAGUGGCGAAGGCGGCCUACUGGGCUUUAACUGACGCUGAGGCACGAAAGUGUGGGUAGCAAACA